AGAGUUUGAUCAUGGCUCAGAACGAACGCUGGCGGCAGGCUUAACACAUGCAAGUCGAACGCCCCGCAAGGGGAGUGGCAGACGGGUGAGUAACGCGUGGGAACGUGCCCUUCGCUUCAGGAUAGUCCCGGGAAACUGGGUUUAAUACUGGAUACGCCGAAUUGGGAAAGAUUUAUCGGCGAAGGAUCGGCCCGCGUUGGAUUAGCUAGUUGGCGGUGUAAUAGACCACCAAGGCGACGAUCCAUAGCUGGUCUGAGAGGAUGAUCAGCCACACUGGGACUGAGACACGGCCCAGACUCCUACGGGAGGCAGCAGUGGGGAAUCUUGGACAAUGGGCGCAAGCCUGAUCCAGCCAUGCCGCGUGAGUGAAGAAGGCCUUAGGGUUGUAAAACUCUUUCGCCCGUGACGAUGAUGACGGUAACGGAGAAGAGC
rnacentral:rRNA from 1 species